UUCUUCGGAAGGAUUUCUUUGGUGACUGAGUGGCGGACGGGUGAGUAACGCGUGGGUAACCUGCCUCAUACAGGGGGAUAACAGUUAGAAAUGACUGCUAAUACCGCAUGAGCGCACAGUACCGCAUGGUACGGUGUGAAAAACUCCGGUGGUAUGAGAUGGACCCGCGUCUGAUUAGCUCGUUGGCGGGGUAACGGCCCACCAAGGCGACGAUCAGUAGCCGACCUGAGAGGGUGAUCGGCCACAUUGGGACUGAGACACGGCCCAAACUCCUACGGGAGGCAGCAGUGGGGAAUAUUGCACAAUGGGGGAAACCCUGAUGCAGCGACGCCGCGUGAAGGAAGACGUAUUUCGGUAUGUAAACUUCUAUCAGCAAGGAAGAUGAUGACGGUACUUGACUAAGAAGCCCCGGCUAACUACGUGCCAGCAGCCGCGGUAAUACGUAGGGGGCAAGCGUUAUCCGGAUUUACUGGGUGUAAAGGGAGCGUAGGCGGCCAUGCAAGUCAGAAGUGAAAGCCCGGGGCUCAACCCCGGGACUGCUUUUGAAACUGUAGGGCUAGAUUGCCGGAGAGGUGAGCGGAAUUCCUAGUGUAGCGGUGAAAUGCGUAGAUAUUAGGAGGAACACCAGUGGCGAAGGCGGCUCACUGGACGGUAAAUGACGCUGAGGCUCGAAAGCGUGGGGAGCAAAC
rnacentral:rRNA from 1 species